rnacentral:lncRNA from 13 species
GAGAAAGCCCAGUGACCGUGGAACUUUGCAUUGGAACUCAGUGUCACAGUGGAAAGCAAGACAGGGAAGAUUCCGCUAGUGUCCGUUGAAGGAACAUUUAAACUGGUCUUAGUCAGAGGGGAAUCAUCCAUCUCAGCAGUCAGAAACUAAGUUCCAGCUAGCCUCACCACCAUCACUUAAAGUGCCCUGGGGUCCAAUUUAGUUUAUUUAAACCUCAAAAUAGGACCCCAGAGCACUUUAAGCCAGAGGGCUGCAAUUACUGGACAAGUCCUGCUGCUGUGCUGGGCUCCAAGCUGGUGGUCUUGUGGUGGACACAACCCAGUGAAAUACUAGCUGGAGCGGCCAAGGGAGUGCUUGCGUCCAACUCCAGGCAGUACAUCUGGCAGCUCUGGGGAAAGAAGGUAGAGUGAAGAAGACUUGGUGUUGCAGCUUGGAUACCAGCUCAGCCACAGUAAGGGAUACAAACCUUGGAAGGCUUUACACAAGCAAAGGGCAGGUGAUCUAAGAGAAUCAUUGUUUUAAUUGAGAAAGAGACAUUUUCGACAAAGUUAUUAACAGCCAUGCUGCUUGAAUUCUGCUGAGAAACAAGAGAGAAGGAAAAUCCUGAAUAUCAAGAUGGUGAAAAACAUUCAUUCUCCAGAAAAAAAUUCAGGGACAUUUCAGAAAACUCAGAGAAACAUCAUGAGAUUACACAGCCUGAUUUAUAAAAGAAUUUGGGGCAAGCUUCAGAUUUUGAAUGAUCAACCCUGAGGUGCUUGGGCUGUACUCUAAAUAAUACCCUUCACCCAAAAAUAUAUGAGUCGUUUUUGGCCUGUCAAGCUUCAAACAUGUGAG